UGGUGAGGAUAAGCCAUGCGAGUUGAAUGGGAUACCUAAAGUUCCCAUGGCAAACUGCUCAGUAACACAUGAUCAACUUACCCUAUAGAGAAAAAUAACCUCGGGAAACUGAGGAUAAUGUUUCAUAGUUGAGUUGGCUUGGAAAAGUUUUUCGACGAAAGGGGUAAAAAAAAUGGUUUUUAUCUGCUAUAGGAUAGGAUCGUGUUCGAUUAUGGUUGUUGGUGAGGUAAUGGCUCACCAAGCCGAUAAUCGAUAGGGGCCGUGAGAGCGGGAGCCCCGAGAUGGGUACUGAGACAACGACCCAGGCCUUACGAGGCGCAGCAGGCGCGAAACCUCCGCAAUACACGAAAGUGUGACGGGGUUACCCAAAGUGUUCAAUUUUGAACUGUGGUAGGUGAGUAAUGUUCCCUACUAGAAAGGAGAGGGCAAGGCUGGUGCCAGCCGCCGCGGUAAAACCAGCUCUUCAAGUGGUCGGGAUAAUUAUUGGGCUUAAAGUGUCCGUAGCCGGUUUAGUAAGUUCCUGGUAAAAUCGGGUAGCUUAACUAUCUAUAUGCUAGGAAUACUACUAUACUAGAGGGCGGGAGAGGUCUGAGGUACUGCAGGGGUAGGGGUGAAAUCUUAUAAUCCUUGUUGGACCACCAGUGGCGAAGGCGUCAGACUGGAACGCGCCUGACGGUGAGGGACGAAAGCCAGGGGAGCGAACCGGAUUAGAUACCCGGGUAGUCCUGGCCGUAAACGAUGCAUACUAGGUGAUGGCACGGCCAUGAGCCGUGUCAGUGCCGUAGGGAAACCGUUAAGUGUGCCGCCUGGGAAGUACGGUCGCAAGGCUAAAACUUAAAGGAAUUGGCGGGGGAGCACCACAAG
rnacentral:rRNA from 1 species